rnacentral:lncRNA from 1 species
AUUCAGGGAAGUAGAUUUGGUUGUUGUUCUCUAUCUUAUCAUCGAUAGUCUUCCUCCCUCCAACCAUUUCAAGCAGCACCAUUCCAAAACCAUAAACAUCAGACUUGUAGGAUACAUUACCGAAGUUCCUAGAGAACACUUCAGGUGCAAUGUACCCCAAGGUUCCUCUAGCUGUAGUCAUGGAAACUGCACUCUGAUCCUUGGAGCAUAGUUUCGCCAGACCGAAAUCAGAGAUUUUUGGAUUGAAAUUGUCGUCUAGCAAGAUGUUAUGAGGUUUGAUGUCGAAAUGGAGGAUUCGCUGAUCACAACCUUGGUGAAGAUACUCUAUUCCUUUGGCCAUGCCAAGAGCAAUAUCCUGAAGUUUCUCCCAACUAAGAGCGGAUGCGUCGCCAUGCUCUGAAGAUAUAAAUUUCUCUAGUGAUUCAUUUGACAGGUAGUCGUAAACUAGAGCUCUUCUAAAUCCAUCAGCACAGUAGCCGACUAAGCGAAUAACGUUGACGUGAUGGAUUUUUCCCAUUGUUCCCACUUCAUUAACGAACUCUUCUCCAUUCCCUGUUGAAUUGUUCAGGAUCUUCACGGCUACAAAGAUCUCAUCAGAAAGCUGUCCUUUGAACACAGUUCCAUACGCUCCCUGACCCAACUUGUCCUUGAAUUCAUUCGUAAUCCUUUUUAUGUCGGCAUACGUAUAUCUGGUGGGCUUGAAAGCUUUAUAAUCUGCCAAAAAGUUUUCAAUCCUUUUCUGAUUUUCUUUCGCUGCUUUGUCAGAGCUGUAGACACGGAAGGCUGCAAAAAAAACCAGUAAUAGAAGAACCGAACCCACGGUCGCGACUGCAUAGAAAAUAUUUGUGAUCAAUAAAUCAUCAAUUUAGUUUAGACGUUGCUAGGUAAGGAAAGAAGUUGAAAAUGCCAAAUUCGCAGAAUUCUCACCUGAAGCCUCUAUCUUUUUCUUGAUGUCUGGAAAGAAAAUAUAUGGUAUCGUCAGCUUCUUUAGCAGCAUGUAUUUGAGAAUAAUAAUCCAUGGAUUCUAUGGAAACCAUGACUAAGGAGCCUAAUUCCAAAGAUUUAUCAAGUAGCCAACCUAAUGAUAUAUGGACAAAUUUGUUUCCAAUUAAGUUCACUUCAAACUUAUUUUUAUGUUCAACGUGACAUGGAUACUAUAUAUUUCAUCUCUAAUGCUUGAAGAACUGACAAGAAAAUUUGAUUUUCUAAACUAACAAAUGAUCCAAUAGUUCCAAGAUGAACAGAAAAAUGUGCAAGACAGACCAUACCUUCUUUUGAUUUAGGCUUGUCAUAGCAUUCAGUUCCAAGCCCAGCACUGUUAUUCUUCGAUCUGCAGAACUUGCCAUGAGCUUCACAAUGUACACAUUCUGGCCCUGACCAAUUCAAAUGAAGUAUAUUGUUCUGCCAAAAGAUUUCCCCUGGAAUUGAUGAAAGAUUAUACAUCUUGGUACAAGAAGUCAGGUCGCUAUAGCCGAUGAGAUAAGAGGAAAAAUAGGCAAAAAUAUCAUAUCCAGGACCACUAAGGCAAGCCAGUUGCCGAGAUGUAUCUCCCUUCCAUGAUGUACAGUUGAAAAAUGCAUAAUCAUCCUGCUCCAUGUCUCCAAACUUGAAAGGAGACGUAGACAAAUUGAAGUGUCUGAGCUGUCCUGGGAGGCAUUGAUCUGGGUCACUAGCGAUGAUCAACUGUGAUGCGUAGUCAAUUUUGUUGACGUAUAGUUUCACAGAAUUUGGUAGCUGCAACAACGUUUCUCUCCUGUCCGUGCAGGAUAGCUCAAACCCAGGAUAGCUACAGUUAUCUGGCUGCUUUUCUCUGAGGCUGAAUGGAAAUCUUAUGGCUGGACCGUCGUUCUUACACCUCGCUUCUUGGCACGGAUCAGGAAGGCCAACUCCAUGACCUACAAGGACCAGCAUCAACAAGCCAACUACAGAGAGAUCCAUUUCCAAAGACAAGUUCUUUUGCGCUCAGCAGCCCUGCAAAUGAUGUUCUUAUCUUGAGAUUGCAACUUGUGGUUUGGCUCUUUAGAGUAAUUUCUGCUUACUUUACUCCAUUGACUUAAAUCAUGGAAAAAUAUUUCAAGAACUGUCAUGGUCUUUGUGGAAUAUAUUUUUGCGUGUGAGUUAGUGAGAUUGGGAUGUGAAAUUGCUAGGAAAGUCGGAGCCAAAUCUGUCACCUCAAGAAAGCAUGGAAUUGUAACCAAAGGUUAGGGAUAAGUCAUAAGUUGUUGUCUAGUUACUCUAGUUUGUAAAUUUUCCAUGGAUUAGAUAAGCAAGAAUCCUUCUUCCAUCCCAAGAGAAAGCAUUAAAUUUUGUGUGAUUUUUCUUCCAUUUUAAGAGAGAUCAAAUAUUUUUUGAAAACUAAAGUACGGUCAUCUAAAGCAAUACAAUGUUCCCAUUUCCAUAGUUGAUGCAUAGCUCAGAAAUUCUUCCUUGAUGCAGAAUUUCAAUGCACAUAGAUGUUGAAAGAGAUGAAUUAUAAAUUGGUUUUAGGUUUUUUUUUUAGUGUUAAGGUUUAAGAAUAUACCAUGACAAUGCUAGUGAGAUUAUUUUAUGUUAAGGUGUUGAUGUUUUCCAAACAAGUUGAUUAUAACCAAGAAAACCUCAUUAAGCCUCAACACAUCUAAAUUUGAUGUUUUGUUAGUGUUUUCCAACCCCACCUACAUUAAGUCUCAAUACACAAAAAAUUAAAUUAUAUAAAAUUUAACUGUAUUUUAAUUCAAGCCUAAAACAUUCUAAAAUAAUCCAAUCUAUUCCUCAAAAACCCAUAUAUCCAGUCCUCAUAUUAAAUCAAUUAAGCCAAAUUAACACUCUAAAACAUUAAUUAAACAUCUUAAAUUACCCAAAAUCCUCUAACCAAACCAAUAGACUCAAGCCUAAAACAACAAGAUCUCUAACUUUCACUUCUUCUUUCCUUUUGUACUUUCUCCUUUCUCUUUUUUUCCCCUUCUUUUCCUUUUUUUUUUUAUGUUCCUCUUUUUUUUUUUUUUUAUUGACUUCCUAUUUAUAUUUAUCAAAAAUAUACGAAAUGAUCCAAAAUAUCCCUAAAUUAUUUAUACCCUUAACUAUUCAUCAAAUGGUAUAAAUGUCUUUUCCAAUCCAUUAUUUUCAACAUAUUACAAAAUGUAUUAAUGGAGUUCUCAUAUUAUUAAUUUGAUCAAUUGAGUCCCUGUACUAUUUAUAAAGACAUUAGCGGUGUUUUGAUACAUGUUCCUAUUGACUAAAUCUAGCUUGGUAUUCAAUUUGUAAAAGAAAAAAAAACGAUCAACAAAUUAUAUUUGAUUUUUAUGAACUUUGAAUUAUUUAAGAUAAUUAAAUAAUAUAAAUAACAACAAUGUAAAACCCUAAGAUAUCCCGUAACUAAAUUAAAAACUUAUCUUUAAAUUACUGUUUCUUUUUCUUAAUUAUUUUAAUGGAAUUUAUGGGAUAUUUUGAUGUUUUUUUGUUGUUUUAAAAUUAUUAUAUCUCUUCCUAGCUUUUUUUGCCUUUUAAGAACUAAGGAUCAUGAUAGAUUUGUCAACAUAAAAACGUGUCAUGUAUCGAGUGUGAUGGAAACUCGUUGCUAAUUCCAUCAUGGAUGAAUGGUUCUGAUUGCAAACAAAACGAGUAUUUAAUGGAAUUAAUGAAUUAAAUCAGCAGUCAUGGGACUUGAUUAGUCAAAUUACAAUAGUUUAGGGACCAAAAGUAACUAUUUCAGAAAAUACCGGCAAUAAUCAAAUUUGGGUAUAAGACUUUUUUAAAUUUAAUUUUAUUAUAUUAAUCUCAAUUGUCACCCAGGCACAUAUCAGAGCCUCAAUUUUACAAGCCUAACAGAGUUAGCAACCCAUCCACCUCGUCAGAUAUGAAAGCAGGGGACGCGCACACAAACAAAAUUCUGAAGUUGAAGGACCACCACGACCAAAUUCACAGUAGGAUGAAUUUAUCCUUGUCAAAACUCAAAGUCCUUGAACUGGAUGUUUGGUACUGAACCAGAUAUCUGGAACAGUCAGUACUAUGCUAUUUCACGAAGUUGAUGCAGAGCAAAAGAGUUUUUCCUCUCUUUUUUUUGGUUGGAAUGCACAAGCUAGCAAAUGCUGGCCAUAUGGAAAAGCUCAAUACUUUUGAUGGGGGACUGCAUCAGCAGUGAUGAUAGUUCUGUUGAAACAUUCAAAUAUCCAUUGGAGUCUGGCUCAUACCUUUCCAAUCCAGGGGAAAGGCGAAAAACAUUCGAAAUUAACCUUCAUUCUUAUCACUUAAAGAACCAAAGAAUAGAGUUCAAAGAUUCAUAAUCUGUAUGCAUUGAUCAUAUUUAUUGAAAGCUUUAGGGGAUCCACCAAAAUGUGGUUACACCUUAUAUGAGAUAGCUUGUGAGAACAAUCGAGUAGUUCAGGAAAAUACUCCAGUUACGGAGACCUCUUUGACCGGCUUCUAUUCAGCAAUGAACACGCUAAGGAUGUCACCGAAGAGUGUAAAUCAGGUGAAGUCUCCUGAAAAAACGAUUAUCUAGUAUAGAGCAUUGUAUGGUCACUCUGCCUCUGAGAUCACUUCCAAAGCUUGAUGAAGAGGUCUCCCCGGCAUAUUGACAUUCCUUCUUCCUUGACCUGCAGAAGCAAAAGGGCUGGGAGGCAUUGUUAAUGUGUCCCCUGCUCCUUCCAACAUUUGAACUACAGCAUUCAUUGAGGGACGAUCCACAGGGUGCCAUUGAAUGCACCAAAGUCCUACAAUUGUCAGCUUCUUGGCAAUCUGUGCAUCACCCUCCUUUUCAAUUCUGAUUCUCAGCUCUUCUCCAUUAUCCAGGCUGUUGUAGACCCAUUCUGGGAAGUAGAUUUGGUUGUUGUUCUCUAUCUUAUCAUCGAUAGUCUUCCUCCCUCCAACCAUUUCAAGCAGCACCAUUCCAAAACUAUAAACAUCAGACUUGUAGGAUACAUUACCGAAGUUCCUAGAGAACACUUCAGGUGCAAUGUACCCCAAGGUUCCUCUAGCUGUAGUCAUGGAAACUGCACUCUGAUCCUUGGAGCAUAGUUUCGCCAGACCAAAAUCAGAGAUUUUUGGAUUGAAAUUGUCGUCUAGCAAGAUGUUAUGAGGUUUGAUGUCGAAAUGGAGGAUUCGCUGAUCACAACCUUGGUGAAGAUACUCUAUUCCUUUGGCCAUGCCAAGAGCAAUAUCCUGAAGUUUCUCCCAACUAAGAGCGGUUGCGUCGCCCUGCUCGGAAGAUAUAAAUUUCUCUAGUGAUUCAUUUGACAG